rnacentral:rRNA from 1 species
UACGGGGGGGGCAAGCGUUGUUCGGAAUUACUGGGCGUAAAGGGCUCGUAGGCGGCCAACUAAGUCAGACGUGAAAUCCCUCGGCUUAACCGGGGAACUGCGUCUGAUACUGGAUGGCUUGAGUUUGGGAGAGGGAUGCGGAAUUCCAGGUGUAGCGGUGAAAUGCGUAGAUAUCGAGGAGACACCGGUGGCGGAAGGCGGU